rnacentral:lncRNA from 10 species
GAUGGAGUCUUGCUCUGUCACCCAGGCUGGAGUGCCAUGGCGCCACCUCAGCUCACUGCAACCUAUGCCUCCUGGGUUCAAGCGAUUCUCCUGCCUCGGCCUCCCCAGUAGCUGGGAUUACAGAUGGAGCCUCGCUCUGUCACCCAGGCUGGAGUGCAGUGGCACAAUCUCGGGUCACUGCAACCUCCGCCCCCCAGCUUCAAGCGAUUCUCCUGUCUCAGCCUCCCGAGUAGCUAGGAUUACAGGUGCACGCCACCAGGCCUGGCUAAUUUUUAUAUUUUUAGUAGAGAUGGGAUUUUGCCUUGUUGGCCAGGCUGGUCUCAAACUCCUGACCUCAGGUGACCCAUCCACCUUGGCCUCCCAAAGUGCUGGGACUACAGGUGUGAGCCACCAUGCCUGGUCCCCCACUUGUUGAUUUUGCAGAAAAGAUAGCUGUGUUACAACCUGUCCUAAGGUCAGGUAUGAAUACUUGUGCUUCUUUCUUGGCUCCCCAAGCCAGAGGGCAUUCCUAUGCCCAGGUGAGAGAGCACGGAGUGUUACUUUGGCAGCACAGUCAGUUACCAGAGGUAGGAAAAGCAAAGGCCAGGCAGGACAUGAGGGGCCCUUGCACUGGCUGGUUCUCC